rnacentral:rRNA from 1 species
GUCCACGCCUUAAACUAUGAAUACUAAGUGUCGGCGGGUUACCGCCGGUGCCGCAGCUAACGCAUUAAGUAUUCCGCCUGGGAAGUACGGCCGCAAGGUUUAAACUCAAAGGAAUUGACGGGGGCCCGCACAAGCGGUGGAGCAUGUGGUUUAAUUCGACGCAACGCGAAGAACCUUAACCAGGCUGUACAUGCAGGUAGUAGAAGGGUGAAAGCCCAACGAGGUAGCAAUACCAUCCUGCUCAGGUGCUGCAUGGCUGUCGU